UCCCUGGUGGCUCAGCUGGUAAAGAAUCUGCCUGCAACGCAGGAGACAUUGGUUCGAUUCCUGUAUUGGGAA
rnacentral:tRNA from 1 species